UACGUAGGGUGCAAGCGUUAAUCGGAAUUACUGGGCGUAAAGCGUGCGCAGGCGGUCCGUUAAGACAGAUGUGAAAUCCCCGGGCUUAACCUGGGAACUGCGUUUGAAACUACAAGGCUAGAGUGUGGCAGAGGGGGGUGGAAUUCCACGUGUAGCAGUGAAAUGCGUAGAGAUGUGGAGGAACACCGAUGGCGAAGGCAGCCCCCUGGGUUAACACUGACGCUCAGGCACGAAAGCGUGGGGAGCAAACAGG
rnacentral:rRNA from 1 species